AGAAGAAAAAAAUUUAGAACAAUGUCUGAUGAUGCAAGGUCGUUGUAGUUGAUAUAAAAAGGUAUGGAAUUUGGCGAAGUUAUGUCACACAAGCACACGGGUUGCUCGUCACCUGUUUUGCUGAGAAUCUUCAACAAAAUGAAGACUUUGGUAGUGCUCUUUCUCCUCUUGUCCGUCGUUCUCUCCGUAGUGUCAGCUUUGCCACUGAUGUACUACAGUUACCCAUAUACAGCUUCUUACUACGCAGCUCCUUAUUAUUAUGCACCAGCUUAUGCACCAGUUUAUGCACCAGCGUAUACAGCACCAUACGUACUACCACUUCUCAAAAAAUAAUGCUUUUGCUAUAGGAUAGAACCAAAUUAACUGCUAUUCAAGCGUUCCUGCACAAUCAUUCCAAGUUGCCAUCUCACUGUAGCAAACUUUUAAAAAAAAAUGUAAAACUUGUUAUGCUUUUCCUUCCCUUAAAAGUACUUUCCACCAAAAUAAAUGCUGCCUGCUUGUAAAUUCCAAUAAAGAAUUUUCGUGACAUGAAA